UACGUAGGGACCAAGCGUUGUUCGGAUUUACUGGGCGUAAAGGGCGCGUAGGCGGCGUGUUAAGUCACUUGUGAAAUCUCUGAGCUUAACUCAGAACGGUCAAGUGAUACUGAUGUGCUAGAGUGCAGAAGGGGCAACCGGAAUUCUUGGUGUAGCGGUGAAAUGCGUAGAUAUCAAGAGGAACACCUGAGGUGAAGGCGGGCUACUGGGCCGAUACUGACGCUGAUGCGCGAAAGCCAGGGGAGCGAACGGG
rnacentral:rRNA from 1 species